rnacentral:rRNA from 1 species
UGACGUAGACCCGAAACCGGGCGACCUACCCAUGAGCAGGAUGAAGCGAAAGUAAAAUUUCGUGGAGGUCCGAACCCACGAGCGUUGAAAAGCUCGGGGAUGACUUGUGGGUAGCGGUGAAAUUCCAAUCGAGCCCGGAGAUAGCUGGUUCUCCCCGAAAUAGCUUUAGGGCUAGCCUCAAGGUGAGAGAUACGGAGGUAGAGCACUGAAUGUCCUAGGGGGUAUUGCACCUACCGAAGACUAUCAAACUCCGAAUGCCGUCAUCUUAUACUUGGGAGUCAGACUGUGGGUGAUAAGAUUCAUAGUCGAAAGGGCAACAGCCCAGAUCGUCAGCUAAGGUCCCUAAAUGUAAGUUAAGUGGUAAAGGAUGUGGGAUUGCACAGACAACCAGGAUGUUGGCUUAGAAGCAGCCACUCAUUCAAAGAGUGCGUAAUAGCUCACUGGUCGAGUGAUCCUGCGCCGAAGAUUUCCGGGGCUAAAACUUACUACCGAAGCUACGGCAUCAGUAAUGAUGGGUAGGGGAGCUUCCCAUACGGGUUGAAGCAUGACCGUAAGGACAUGUGGACAGUAUGGGAGUGAGAAUGUUGGCAUGAGUAGCGAGAUGUGGGUGAGAAUCCCACAGGCCGUAAACCCAAGGUUUCCAGGGGAAGGUUCGUCCGCCCUGGGUUAGUCGGGACCUAAGCUGAGGCCGAAAGGCGUAGGUGAUGGACAACAGGUUGAUAUUCCUGUACUACCGAUAACCGUUUGAGAGAAGGGAUGACACAGUAGGAUAAGCUAAGCACACUGUUGGUUAUGUGUGCCCAAGCAUUGAGGCAGUCAAAGUAGGCAAAUCCGCUUUGAUAAUGCUGGGAUGUGAUGGGGAGCGAAAUUUAGUAGCGAAGUAGCUGAUUUCACACUGUCAAGAAAAGUCUCUAUCGAGGUUAAAGGUACCCGUACCGCAAACCGACACAGGUGGGUGAGGAGAGUAUCCUAAGGCCAGCGAGAGAACUGUUGUUAAGGAACUCGGCAAAAUGACCCCGUAACUUAGGGAUAAGGGGUGCCACCAUCAGGUGGCCGCAGAGAAUAGGCCCAAGCGACUGUUUACCAAAAACAUAGGUUUCUGCUAAGUCGCAAGACGAUGUAUAGGAGCUGACGCCUGCCCGGUGCUGGAAGGUUAAGGGGAUCUGUUAGAG